GGGCGGGUAUGCACAGGGAAAAAUAUGCACUGGCUCAAUCGGCUAUCUUUUUUGUUUGGAGCUAUGGCUAUAAACUAUUUUAGCAGUACGCUUACAGCGAAGUUCACUGUACUUAAAAAUACCAGCUGUUAACUUAACAUUUGCGCCUCUCUCUCAUGCUAUUCACUUAACAGAAGAGAUCGAAUGUUAGGCUGAGCGAACGUAACAGCGAGAGAGAGAGAGAAAAAUGGCGCCAUUCUGAGAUUUGCGAUUGUAGGACGCGGAUGCAAAGUGCAUAGUAAAUAAUAAAGUUAAUGGUAAAAACGUGCCAAAAACAUAAGUGCUCAAGUGGAAAUAUGAAGUUCAGUUGGCGCGCGUCUGAUGCAACAAAACGGAGAGACAAAGAGAGCCAACAAGAAGGAAGCGAAGCGACGCGUAAAGUUAACGGUUAUAACCACAAACCGCGUGCUUGCUUGUUUACCUUUUCACGCAUGUAUUUAUUGCCGCAAGUGGGAGAUGCAAAAGAGUCGGGAAAUGGAGACGUUGGACGCGAGUCCAAAUCAAAAGCAAAUCUUGUUACGACAAAUUUCAACUACUGUGCGACCGGGUGAAACAAAGGCCAUCGUCAGCGAUGUCGAGACGAAGGAAGCGUCCAGCGGGAUCGGGUUUUAAAACUAGAACAGCAGACGCAAGGCUCACGAAAAACAUGGCACAUAAUUUUCGUACGCUUUAAAAACGCAUUAAACUGCAAUGGCAGCAAAAGUAGCGGAGAACAUAAACAUGGACAUAAACACGGACAGGACAUGGACACAUACAA
rnacentral:sRNA from 1 species